rnacentral:rRNA from 1 species
AGCAGUAGCCGCGGGAACACGGAGGGUGCAAGCGUUAAUCGGAAUUACUGGGCGUAAAGCGUGCGUAGGCGGCUUCUUAAGUCGGAUGUGAAAUCCCUGAGCUUAACUUAGGAAUUGCAUUCGAUACUGGGAAGCUAGAGUAUGGGAGAGGAUGGUAGAAUUCCAGGUGUAGCGGUGAAAUGCGUAGAGAUCUGGAGGAAUACCGAUGGCGAAGGCAGCCAUCUGGCCUAAUACUGACGCUGAGGUACGAAAGCAUGGGGAGCAAACAGGAUUAGAUACCCCCGUAGUCCCUGUCUCUUAUAC